AUUGAACGCUGGCGGCAUGCUUUACACAUACAAGUCGAACGGUAACAGGCCGCAAGGUGCUGACAAGUGGCGAACGGGUGAGUAAUGCAUCGGAACGUGCCCAGCCGUGGGGGAUAACGCAGCGAAAGCUGCGCUAAUACCGCAUACGAUCCAUGGAUGAAAGCGGGGGACCGAAAGGUCUCGCUCGAUUGAAGCGGCCGGUGGCAGAUUAGGGAGUUGGUGGGGUAAAGGCUCACCAAGCCGAAGAUCUGUAGCUGGUCUGAGAGGACGACCAACCACACGGGGACUGAGACACGGCCCAGACUCCUACGGGAGGCAGCAGUGGGGAAUUUUGGACAAGGGGCGCAAGCCUGGUCCAGCAAUGCCGCGUGCAGGAAGAAGGCCUUCGGGUUGUAAACUGCUUUUGUACGGAACGAAAAGGCUCUGGUUAAUACCUGGGGCUCAUGACGGUACCGUAAGAAUAAGCACCGGCUAACUACGUGCCAGCAGCCGCCGUAAAAC
rnacentral:rRNA from 1 species